AUUGAACGCUGGCGGCAUGCUUUACACAUGCAAGUCGAACGGUAACAGGCCGCAAGGUGCUGACGAGUGGCGAACGGGUGAGUAAUGCAUCGGAACGUGCCCAGUCGUGGGGGAUAACGCAGCGAAAGCUGCGCUAAUACCGCAUACGAUCUAUGGAUGAAAGCGGGGGACCGUAAGGCCUCGCGCGAUUGGAGCGGGCGAUGUCAGAUUAGGUAGUUGGUGGGGUAAAGGCUCACCAAGCCGACGAUCUGUAGCUGGUCUGAGAGGACGACCAGCCACACUGGGACUGAGACACGGCCCAGACUCCUACGGGAGGCGGCAGUGGGGAACUUUGGACAAUGGGGGCAACCCUGAUCCAGCAAUGCCGCGUGCAGGAAGAAGGCCUUCGGGUUGUAAACUGCUUUUGUACGGAACGAAACGGCUCUGGUUAAUACCUGGGGCUAAUGACGGUACCGUAAGAAUAAGCACCGGCUAACUACGUGCCAGCCGCCGCGGUAACAC
rnacentral:rRNA from 1 species